rnacentral:misc_RNA from 1 species
GUAGGUGAACCUGCGGAAGGAUCAUUACCAAUCCAAAACUUUUAUAAACCACUUUGUGCACUGAGAAACCGAAUCCUUACCCCUUCUAAUUGCAAAGAUUUUGAAUUUCUGCAAAAGGGAGGGGUAAGGAGUUUUUCCCCCCCUCGUCUUAGGGCGGAGGAGGAGAGACAAAAACAUAAACCCCCCUUUUUUCGUAAAAAAAAACUCUUAACAGUCAUGUUAAUAGGAUUUUUUCAAAAAAUCUUACAUG